GUCUGAUCACCCCAUGCCAUUCCAAACCAAGAUGCAUGCACACAUUAUCAGAACCUUAAAAGUCAAACUAGCUGCAGUAUCUAAACCCGAGAAGACAGUCUUGAAAGUUUGAGGUUUAUCUUCCAUAGCUUGAAGAAGUUAAAAGUGCAUAGAGUUUUCUCUAAUGCUUAUGUUCUAUAGAUCAAAGAGGACAAGGAAUUCCAGAGAUCAUGUUUGGUCCAUCUGCAAUUAGAAGAAAAGUAGCGUGCACAACUCUUAUGGGCGUGUAGAAUGCAUGAUCAUACCAUGAUCUACUGACCAGACCCGCAAGAACAUUUCCACAAGAGUCAUAAUGGAUGUGCAAUUCUAACAUUUUUAGCACCAUGUUAAGCUGAUUUCAAAAAGCAACAAAAAGUUUAGAAUCAAGCUAAUCAAUUCACAUACAGAGAGGUUAAACUUUUUGCGGGUAUCUCUUAUCAAGGCAUAUUAGGCACCUCAAGUCCUCAACCAAAACGAUAUGCCUCAGCUUAUGCCUAGCUAUCUGGAACUCCAGUACCAUGCAAUAAUACCAGAGUUUUAAUUGAAUUCAUAGACCAAACCGAGGAAGAAAAUUCAACUAAGAUGUUAGGAUGUUGGAAUUUGUAUGAACAGAACUCUGC
rnacentral:lncRNA from 1 species